UACGAAGGGGGGCUAGCGUUGCUCGGAAUCACUGGGCGUAAAGCGCACGUAGGCGGCUUUGCAAGUCAGAGGUGAAAGCCUGGAGCUCAACUCCAGAAUUGCCUUUGAGACUGCAUCGCUUGAACACGGGAGAGGUGAGUGGAAUUCCGAGUGUAGAGGUGAAAUUCGUAGAUAUUCGGAAGAACACCAGUGGCGAAGGCGGCUCACUGGACCGUUGUUGACGCUGAGGUGCGAAAGCGUGGGGAGCAAACAGG
rnacentral:rRNA from 1 species